rnacentral:lncRNA from 1 species
AUGUGUGAAAGAAGUUAAACUACUCCUGGCAAAUUGAUAACUUUUUUUUUAUUUUUUUACAUUUAAGGAAGUCUCCAUUUCCCUUUUUAGGGCUAUUCUUCGAUGCAUAAGGCGCUGCAACCACAGUUUCAAACAUCAGUUUCAAUUACCCUCUUGCUAUUAUAUGAAGAGCAGAGAGGGACGGACAUGAACUUGCCAUCUAAAGAGGAGUGUGAGGGCUGGAGCCCUGAUCAGGUGGCCCGCUUCAUGUGCCAGAAACAAAUGCCAGAAUGUGCUGAGACCGUCAACAUAUUUAAAAUUAAUGGGCAUAGACUCCUGUUGCCGUUUUGCUGA